rnacentral:rRNA from 1 species
UGUAUUAGCGGCGGACGGGUGAGUAAUGCCUAGGAAUCUGCCUGGUAGUGGGGGACAACGUUUCGAAAGGAACGCUAAUACCGCAUACGUCCUACGGGAGAAAGCAGGGGACCUUCGGGCCUUGCGCUAUCAGAUGAGCCUAGGUCGGAUUAGCUAGUUGGUGAGGUAAUGGCUCACCAAGGCGACGAUCCGUAACUGGUCUGAGAGGAUGAUCAGUCACACUGGAACUGAGACACGGUCCAGACUCCUACGGGAGGCAGCAGUGGGGAAUAUUGGACAAUGGGCGAAAGCCUGAUCCAGCCAUGCCGCGUGUGUGAAGAAGGUCUUCGGAUUGUAAAGCACUUUAAGUUGGGAGGAAGGGUUGUAGAUUAAUACUCUGCAAUUUUGACGUUACCGACAGAAUAAGCACCGGCUAACUCUGUGCCAGCAGCCGCGGUAAUACAGAGGGUGCAAGCGUUAAUCGGAAUUACUGGGCGUAAAGCGCGCGUAGGUGGUUUGUUAAGUUGGAUGUGAAAUCCCCGGGCUCAACCUGGGAACUGCAUCCAAAACUGGCAAGCUAGAGUAUGGUAGAGGGUGGUGGAAUUUCCUGUGUAGCGGUGAAAUGCGUAGAUAUAGGAAGGAACACCAGUGGCGAAGGCGACCACCUGGACUGAUACUGACACUGAGGUGCGAAAGCGUG